CCUACGGGAGGCAGCAGUGGGGAAUCUUGCGCAAUGGGCGAAAGCCUGACGCAGCAACGCCGCGUGCGGGAAGAAGGCUUUCGGGCUGUAAACCGCUUUCAGCAGGAACGAAAAUGACGGUACCUGCAGAAGAAGGAGCGGCCAACUAUGUGCCAGCAGCCGCGGUGAUACAUAGGCUUCAAGCGUUGUCCGGAUUUAUUGGGCGUAAAGAGUUCGUAGGCGGUCGAGUAAGUCGGGUGUGAAAAUUCUGGGCUCAACCCAGAGACGCCACCCGAUACUGCUUGACUUGAGUUCGAUAGGGGAGUGGGGAAUUCCUAGUGUAGCGGUGAAAUGCGCAGAUAUUAGGAGGAACACCGGUGGCGAAGGCGCCACUCUGGAUCGAUACUGACGCUGAGGAACGAAAGCAUGGGUAGCAAACAGGAUUAGAUACCCUGGUAGUCCAUGCCGUAAACGGUGGGCACUAGGUGUGGGUUUCUAUUAACGAAAUCCGCGCCGUCGCUAACGCAUUAAGUGCCCCGCCUGGGGAGUACGGUCGCAAGCUAAAACUCAAAUGAAUUGA
rnacentral:rRNA from 1 species